rnacentral:rRNA from 1 species
GACGAACGCUGGCGGCGUGCUUAACACAUGCAAGUCGAACGAGAGCGUAGAGAAAUCUUGCUUUUUCUACAAUCUAGUGGCAAACGGGUGAGUAACGCGUAAACAACCUGCCCUACUGAUGUGGACAACAGCUGGAAACGCCUGCUACUACCGAAUUCUUUCCCAACGUCGCUUGACUAUCGGAAGCAAUGUUGGCCUCUCUUUUUAAGCUAUCCCCGCUGCAGGGGUUUGCGUCUGAUUAGCUAGCUGGAGGGGUAACGGCCCACCAAGGCGACGAUCAGAAAGCGGACUGGAGGGAUGAACGGCCAAAAUGGAAAGGGGAAACGGGCCAGACUCCUAAGGGAGGGAGCAGGGGGGAAACUUCCGCAAUGGGGGAAAGCCUGACGGGGCAAAGCCGCGUGAGUGAAGACGGGCUUCGGGUUGUAAAGAUCUGUUAUACGGGACGAAUAAUAUUGUGGUGAAUACCCAUGAGAAGUGACGGUACCGAAAGAGAAAGCCACGGCUAACUACGUG